rnacentral:rRNA from 1 species
UCCUGCCGGACCUGACUGCUAUCGGAUUGAUACUAAGCCAUGCGAGUCAUUGUAGCAAUACAAGGCAGACGGCUCAGUAACGCGUAGUCAACCUACCCUAUGGACGGGAAUAACCUCGGGAAACUGAGUAUAAUGCCCGAUAGAACAUUAUGCCUGGAAUGGUUUAUGUUCCAAAUGAUUUAUCGCCGUAGGAUGGGACUGCGGCCUAUCAGUUUGUUGGUGAGGUAAUGGCCCACCAAGACUAUUACAGGUACGGGCUCUGAGAGGAGUAGCCCGGAGAUGGGUACUGAGACACGGACCCAGGCCCUAUGGGGCGCAGCAGGCGAGAAAACUUUGCAAUGUGCGAAAGCACGACAAGGUUAAUCCGAGUGAUUUCUGCUAAAGAAAUCUUUUGCCAGUCAUAAAACCACUGGUGAAUAAGGGGUGGGCAAGUUCUGGUGUCAGCCGCCGCGGUAAAACCAGCACCUCAAGUGGUCAGGAUGAUUAUUGGGCCUAAAGCAUCCGUAGCCGGCUUUGUUAGUUUUCGGUUAAAUCCAUGUGCUCAACGCAUGGGCUGCCGAAAAUACUGCAUAGCUAGGGAGUGGGAGAGGUAGACGGUACUCAGUAGGAAGGGGUAAAAUCCUUUGAUCUAUUGAUGACCACCUGUGGCGAAGGCGGUCUACCAGAACACGUUCGACGGUGAGGGAUGAAAGCUGGGGGAGCAAACCGGAUUAGAUACCCGGGUAGUCCCAGCUGUAAACGAUGCAGACUCGAUGAUGCAUUGGCAUAAUAGCCAGUGCAGUGUCGCAGGGAAGCCGUUAAGUCUGCCGCCUGGGAAGUACGUACGCAAGUAUGAAACUUAAAGAAUUGGCGGGG